ACGUCUCUCUCAUCUUCUUCUCUCUCUCUCUUCUCAUCUUCCUCUCUUCUUCUUCAUUUAAAAUUUCCGCCGCCGCCUGCCCGGUGAGAGGAGUGCAACCGCCGACCGUCGCUCAGCAUCGUUGUACUCCCGAUGUCGCCUUCGAUCCGUCAGCGUCGUCGUCGCGGUGGGGGUCCAGCCGCCGGCUUACUCAGCCGCUGCACAGUGCCGUCGGGGCUGUUCCGUCGCUGCUGCAGUUCGCCAACGGGAGCUGCUACCGCGGGGGAAAGGUGUCGCUGCUGUCACCGGCCGCUCACUGCUGUCUGCUGGAGUAGUCGGAAGCACUGCUGUCCGCCGCUGCCGGCGCCUCCCUCCUCUGCCGGCAGCUUCCUCUUCCCCGGAAAUACUCCGAACUACCUCGAUUCAACCCGCAAGUUAUGUUUUCAACACAAAGUAUGAAUGAGGAAGGUGGAUGGAUGGAAGAUGGAAGAGUUAGAAAUGGAGGGUCUCCAUGGUGAAGAAACCGUCGACCAUGGGGGAGAGGAAGGAGAAGAGAAAAAGUUCUUGGGCUUGUUCCCACAUUUUGGAAUGAAUUGGGCUCCCGUUUGAUUUAAUUGAUUUGGGCUUAUUUAGUUGCAAGCCCAAUUUGUAUAAUUAUUUAGUUGUUAGGCUUUUUGAUUGUUAUGGCCCAAGGCCAUUCUAUAUAAACAGUUGGACUCCCAUUUUUUUUGAGAAGCCCAAGUAUAAAAAUACUUUGCAUUCUCGCAUUUCAUUCAACUAAUUAAAA